rnacentral:ribozyme from 1 species
UGGAUAAUAGAAAAAGUACAGAAAAUUGAAGAAUUAGAAAAAGAAAAUGUAUUGUUUUUUGAUGAUGAAUUAGUACUUUCCUCUUCUUCCUCUUCUUCCUCUUCUUCUUCUUCUUCUUCUAAAGGAUCGGAAGUAGAAAAAAGAAGAAGAUUUGGCAAAGCUUCGUUUUUUGCUAUUGAUUUCCCACAAGUUUAUUUGAAUCAAAUACAUAGCAUCGUUUCCCGUUAUCUCUUUAAGAACCCAGAAGUUUUAGCCAAUAUAAGCGCUCUGAAUAAAAACUUCGAGAUCUACAAAGCAAAGAAAGAAUUGCAUGUUACUUUAUUGCAUGAAAAACACAAACUAAUUAGUGAUGGAAAAAAAGGAUGGUCAGAGGAGGGAUUUGAAGAGAUUAAGGAA